rnacentral:rRNA from 1 species
AUUGAACGCUGGCGGAAUGCUUUACACAUGCAAGUCGAACGGCAGCACGGGGGCAACCCUGGUGGCGAGUGGCGAACGGGUGAGUAAUACAUCGGAACGUGCCCGGUCGUGGGGGAUAACGUAGCGAAAGUUACGCUAAUACCGCAUACGAUCUGAGGAUGAGAGCGGGGGACCUUCGGGCCUCGCGCGAUCGGAGCGGCCGAUGUCGGAUUAGGUAGUUGGUGGGGUAAAGGCCUACCAAGCCGACGAUCUGUAGCUGGUCUGAGAGGACGACCAGCCACACUGGGACUGAGACACGGCCCAGACUCCUACGGGAGGCAGCAGUGGGGAAUGUUGGACAAUGGGCGCAAGCCUGAUCCAGCCAUUCCGCGUGCAGGACGAAGGCCUUCGGGUUGUAAACUGCUUUUGUAUGGAACGAAAAGGCUCUGGCUAAUACCUGGGGCUCAUGACGGUACCGGAAGAAUAAGCACCGGCUAACUACGUG